UCCCUCACGCGCGUCCCGUUCGGGGUGCGUGGUGAAUGGAAGGCGUUACCUGGUUGAUCCUGCCAGUAGUCAUAUGCUUGUCUCAAAGAUUAAGCC
rnacentral:rRNA from 1 species